UUACAGGCGUAGCCACAGCGCCCGGCCGAUUGACGGCCAUCCCGUCUCUACUAAAAAUAAAAAAAUUAGCCAGGCGUGGUGGCGGGCACGAACUCCUGGACCUCAAGUGAUCUGCCCAUUUCGGCCUCCCAAAGUAAGGGGAUUACAGGCAUGAGCCACCGCGCCCCGCCAGUGCUCAGUUUCAAUUCUUUAGUUCAUUCCCAGGUUACAACGCCUGCACAAAAACAACAAAUUCCAUUUCCAUAAGGAGUCAUUGACCAUCCCAAUUCUCAUUUAUUCACUCAUUCAACAAAUACAUAAAGAGCCUAUCAUAUCCAGCUACUAUUAGGCAAGGGAAUACAACCAUGAAAAUGAUGUAGUCUCUUCCUUCAAAGGGUCUGCAGUUUCUGGAGGAAAGGUUAAUUAUAAUACAAAAAUAAGUGACAUGAUAAAAUACACAGUAAUAGCAUACAGGAACCCCUAUCUCCUAUUGGGUGUGGUGAACAGGAAAGUUUUUCCAAGUUCUGAAAGAUGAAUAGAGUUAGCUGGCAAAGAGGAGACAAGGGUAUUUCAAACAGAGGACAAGAACAUUAUUAGAAGCACCACUGCACUCCAGCCUGAGCGACAGAGCGAGACUCUGUCUCACAAAAAAAAAUGAUAAUAAUAAAAAAUAAUUCAUAGGAGGGGGCUAAAAGUCUGGAUUUGGAUUUUUGACAGUGGAAAUGGAAAAGAAAGGAAUGAGAAUACACAUUAUAAGGAAGGAGGUUAUGAAAUUUUGGUUAAUUAAUGGUCUCUAAUGAUUAGCAUGAGCAUGUAGAACUCAAUGUUUACUGAUUAUUUGACACUCUAAAAUUCUGGUCCAUACCCAUAGCAGAAAUAAAGGGUGAACAAGAUGAUGAGUUUAAAAAUUCAGCUGUUUUAAUAAAGUUCAUUGUUAAUUUUUUUUAAGAAAUGAGGCUUUCAGCCAGGCGUGGUGGUUCACACCUGUAAUGCCAGCAAAAAAAAAAAAAACAUUACCCAAGUGCAGUGGUGCACACCUGUAGUCCCAGCUACUUAGGAUGCUGAGCAGGGAGGAUUACUUGAGCUGCAGUGAACUAUGAUCUCACCACUGCACUCCAGCCUGGGCAAGAGAGGGAGACUUCGUCUUAAAAAAGAAAAGAAAAGAAAAGAACAUUUAGAUGCCAGGCAAAUGUUUUAUUAGUACAAGGCCAGAAAUGAAAAUCUCAGGCAAUUUCAAGGCCCAGUUGCAAUCUACUGCCACCUACUGGGGAGUCAACUGGAGGCUGGAGGGGAAAUGUAUACUUUAUUAAUUAUUAAUUGCUAAACCUAUUAUACAAACUUAUAGUUAGUUUCAUAAGGUCAUCUAUUCUUUCAGAUCUUUACUAUAAACUGGAAUUGUUGUAUCACUACCAGAUCAUGGGCCCUAUAGCUUUAUUACUGACUGAUCAAGCUUGAUGCCUUAUCCCAUUUUAAUUCUACUGCUUAGUGAGUGGUUUUAGGAUUUCCUUAGGUUAAGAAUUUCUUCACUUCUUAGGUUAAAACAGCAGCCAGGUGCAGUGGCUCAUGCCUGUAAUCCCAGUACUUUGGGAGGCUGAGGUGGGAGGAUCAUUUGAGCCCAGGAGUUGGAGACCAGCCUGGGCAACAGGCAACAAAGCAAGACCCCAUCUUUACCAAAAGAAAAAAAAAAUACACCUGGCACGGUGGCUCACACCUGUAAUCCCAACACUUUGGGAGGCUGAGGCAAAUGGAUCUUGUCAGGUCAGGCAUUCGAGACCAGCCUGGCCAACAUGGUGAAACACCCUCUCUCCUAAAAAUACAAAUUUAGCCGGGUGUGGUGAUGCAGGCCUAUA
rnacentral:lncRNA from 1 species